AUUGACGGUUUACAACUUUGAAAAUUGUUGAAAAUCACAGUUAUACGGACUUUUUUUCUAAACGCUUUCAGAUAUUGGGCUGAUUUUUGGUAUGUUAGGUAACCAUGAUGAGAUACAGGUCAAGUUCAAGUUUUGUUCCGCUUCGCUAUUUUUGCCGAAAUUACGGGCUUUUGACUUUGAUAAAUUGUUGAAAAUAACAGUUAUACAGACUUUUUUCUAAACGCUUUCAGAUAUUGGGCUGAUUUUUUGUAUGUGAGUUACUCAUGAUGAGUUACAGAUCAAGUUUAAGUUUUGUUCCUCUCCAUUAAUUGUUGCCAAAAUUAAGGGUUUACAACUUUGAAAAUUGUUGAAAAUCAC
rnacentral:lncRNA from 1 species